rnacentral:rRNA from 1 species
AUUGAACGCUGGCGGCAUGCCUUACACAUGCAAGUCGAACGGCAGCACGGGAGCAAUCCUGGUGGCGAGUGGCGAACGGGUGGGUAAAGUAUCGGAACGUGCCCAGUCGUGGGGGAUAACGUAGCGAAAGUUACGCUAAUACCGCAUACGAUCUAUGGAGGAAAGCGGGGGAUCGCAAGACCUCGCGCGAUUGGAGCGGCCGAUAGCAGAUUAGGUAGUUGGUGGGGUAAAGGCUCACCAAGCCGACGAUCUGUAGCUGGUCUGAGAGGACGACCAGCCACACUGGGACUGAGACACGGCCCAGACUCCUACGGGAGGCAGCAGUGGGGAAUUUUGGACAAUGGGCGAAAGCCUGAUCCAGCCAUGCCGCGUGCAGGAUGAAGGCCUUCGGGUUGUAAACUGCUUUUGUACGGAACGAAAAGGUUUGGCCUAAUAAGCUGAGCUCAUGACGGUACCGUAAGAAUAAGCACCGGCUAACUACGUGCCAGCCGCCGCCGUAA